rnacentral:rRNA from 1 species
UACGAAGGGGGGCUAGCGUUGCUCGGAAUCACUGGGCGUAAAGCGCACGUAGGCGGAUUGUUAAGUCAGGGGUGAAAUCCUGGAGCUCAACUCCAGAACUGCCUUUGAUACUGGACACCUAGAGUACGGGAGAGGUGUGUGGAACUCCGAGUGUAGAGGUGAAAUUCGUAGAUAUUCGGAAGAACACCAGUGGCGAAGGCGACACACUGGCCCGUUACUGACGCUGAGGCGCGAAAGCGUGGGGAGCAAACAGG